CACGUAGGGGGCGAGCGUUGUCCGGAUUUAUUGGGCGUAAAGAGCUCGUAGGCGGCUCGGUAAGUGAGGUGUGAAAACUCCAGGCUCAACCUGGAGACGCCACCUCAUACUGCUGUGGCUAGAGUCCGGUAGGGGAGCAUGGAAUUCCUGGUGUAGCGGUGAAAUGCGCAGAUAUCAGGAGGAACACCAGUGGCGAAGGCGGUGCUCUGGGCCGGAACUGACGCUGAGGAGCGAAAGCUAGGGGAGCAAACGGG
rnacentral:rRNA from 1 species